rnacentral:rRNA from 1 species
GUUUGAUCAUGGCUCAGGAUGAACGCUGGCGGCGUGCCUAAUACAUGCAAGUCGAACGCGAAAGGUCUGAAGCCUUCGGGCGGAGGGCCGAGUAGAGUGGCGAACGGGUGAGGAACACGUAGGUGACCUGCCCCGGAGAGGGGGAUAACCGUCGGAAACGGCGGCUAAUACCCCAUAAGCUCACGCGAGUUAGAGGGCGUGUGAGAAAAGCUCCGGCGCUCCGGGAGGGGCCUGCGGCCCAUCAGCUAGUUGGUAGGGUAAAGGCCUACCAAGGCGAAGACGGGUAGGGGGCCUGAGAGGGUGGUCCCCCACAUGGGAACUGAGACACGGUCCCAACUCCUACGGGAGGCAGCAGUAAGGAAUAUUGCACAAUGGGCGCAAGCCUGAUGCAGCAACGCCGCGUGCCCGAGGACGGCCUUCGGGUUGUAAAGGGCUUUUCUGGCUGACGAGGAAGGACGGUAGGCCAGGAAUAAGCGUCGGCUAACUACGUGCCAGCAGCCGCGGUAAU